CAUGUGCGAAGCUCUGGGUUCCACCUCCAGCCUCUAGAAGCAAACCAACCCACAGGGCCCUUCCUUUAGCCCGGUGUGUUUAUAUACCCACUGGGAUCCAGCGCUGGGGAGGCCGGAACAGGAGGGACAUGAAUUUGAGGACAGCCUGGAGUACACGUUAACUUCAUGACUGUCAGAACUACAUAGUGAAAGUAAUAAUUACAUCAGAAAAAGAAAGCCAGUCAUCGAUCUGCGGCUUUCCAAGCACCCAAUCGGCAGAACUGCUGAACACAUUCAGUGAGCAAAGAAUUCCCAGAAAGCUGUGCUCCAUUCGCCAAAACUCGACGGUCGGGUUUCAUCUGCAAGCGCCUGUGAAUACAGCAGCUGACGGUGUGAGUAUGUGGUCCACACUUGCCAGCAGUUUAGAAGCCUCCUGUGGAGGCGCGCCCAGGGUCCAGGGAAGGAUUGCUGCAACCCGGAGGAAAUGCAGAAGCCUUGUACACGUGCCUCGUGGAUGACUCAGUGACAUCUGUCCUUGUCGCGCGCCAGGAUUGCCAGCGGGCAUUCUAUAACUAAAAGAGACAGCAGGCCAGCUUCCUAUUUUUGUUUUUUUGGACAAAGAAGCCUUCAAGAAUUACACCAGAGGAAGAUUAAGAACAACCUCUUCAACAAAUGGUGCUGGGGACACUCACGUAGAAGAACGAAGCUAGAUAAACGAGCAUGUAUGCCUUGAUGGUGUUUCCCUCCAAAGAUAUCUGCUUAAGCUUCGACCCCUGGCACCUGCAAUUGUAACUUUCUUGAGAAUAACGCCCUUGUACAAGUGGAUUUCCUCUUCCCGUUAGUCACCCCUCGAAGACGUCAUGCUGGGCCUUCCACCUCUGCACAGGUCUGCAUGUUUAACAGUUCCUGCCGAGUCCCAUUUUCAUUCUUAUCAACGUGCCUUUCUUUUUUUAUUAGUUCUUAUUGUGUAAAUUUAACUCUUCCAAGAAAGUUUUGGGGGAAAUCACCUCUCCGCCCCCAAAAAAAUUUCAUUAAAAGAUGAUAACG